UAUAUAAUUCUGGACGUCGGUUCUAGCGGGGAGCAGCCACUAGAGGUAACGGGGAAAGUCCGGUGAGAAUCCGGUGCUGUCCCGCAGCUGUGAAGGAGAAUUGAUUUUUCUUAUGGGUGGCGAUCGCUCGCCCACUCCCGCUGGUUGCCUUUUGCCUUG
rnacentral:ncRNA from 1 species